GAGCAAUCCAUGAGUAGAGUGGCAAACGGGUGAGUAACACGUGGGUGACCUGCCUUCGAGUGGGGGAUAACGUCCCGAAAGGGACGCUAAUACCGCAUAAUAUGCUGUCUUUUAAGAGAAAGACAUCAAAGCCGGGGACCGCAAGGCCUGGCGCUUGAAGAGGGGCCCGCGCCUGAUUAGCUAGUUGGUGGGGUAAUGGCUCACCAAGGCAACGAUCAGUAUCCGGCCUGAGAGGGCGGACGGACACACUGGGACUGAGACACGGCCCAGACUCCUACGGGAGGCAGCAGUGGGGAAUUGUUCGCAAUGGGCGCAAGCCUGACGACGCAACGCCGCGUGGAGGAUGAAGACCUUCGGGUCGUAAACUCCUUUCGAUCGAGACGAAUGGCCUCUGGGCUAACAUCCCGGAGGAGUGACGGUACCGAGAGAAGAAGCCCCGGCUAACUCCGUGCCAGCAGCCGCGGUAAUACGGGGGGGGCAAGCGUUGUUCGGAAUUAUUGGGCGUAAAGCGCGUGUAGGCGGCCUUGCAAGUUGGGUGUGAAAGCCCUCGGCUUAACCGAGGAAGUGCGCCCAAAACUACAGGGCUUGAGUACC
rnacentral:rRNA from 1 species